rnacentral:rRNA from 1 species
UGUACGGAGAGUUUGAUCCUGGCUCAGGACAAACGCUGGCGGGGUGCGUGAGACAUGCAAGUCGAACGAGGAGCCUCCGAGCUUGCUUGGAGGUUUCCUAGUGGC